GCCUGGGUGGCCCAGUCAGUUGGGCGUCUGACUUCGGCUCAGGUCAUGAUCUUUGUGGGUUCGAGCCCGGCUUCGGGCU
rnacentral:tRNA from 1 species